UGUUUAACACAUUGUCAGAGAUGUUCAAUCUAAGGCAUGUCUGAACAGUUUUUGACAUUGUAAAACAUGAUGUCACGUCUCACUUUAGCCUAAUAAACUGAUGAAUAAGAUCUCAUUGUUAAAACAGAGCUGAGACUUGCAAAAAACAUUCUGUGGUACAGUAAUGGUAUCAGAUGGUGAUGGUCCAUUAAUGUUACUGAUUGAUUAGCAAGUUUGGAGUCGGUUUCACAUUUGGUCCUGAGGGCGAAGUUUCUCAUUACUGAAAGCUCCAUAAAACCGGAUGCACAGCUCUGGUCCACGCAGAAAAGCGAGAUGAGGAGGAGGAAUGAGAGAAGAGGAGAUUUACGUAGAGGUCUGAGGAUCAGACGUCAUCCACCACAUCACAAUGACGGCAGGCUCCACGGCAACCAGCAAUUCACAGAGGAAACAUAGAGACAUAAUUAGAAUAAAUUUUCAGCCACUUCUGUCUUACUCUAGUGU
ensembl:lncRNA